GGAAGUAAAAGUCGUAACAAAGUAUCCGUAGGGGAACCUGCGGAUGGAUCAUUAACAUUUAAUUAUCCUUAUUAUACACUAUUAUAAUUGUUGAAGUUAUGUUAUUCUUUUUUAUUAAAGAACAACAUUCUUUUUAUACAUAAACUAUAAACUUUCCAUUUAUAAAUUAAUUAUUAUAUUCGCAAGGAUAUAUAAUCUAUUACAAAAUGUGAAACAACUUUUAACAAUGGAUAUCUUGGUUCUC
rnacentral:misc_RNA from 1 species